AACGCGAAGAACCUUACCAGGAUUUGACAUGCCCUCUAUGAAUUGCUGAAAGGCGAUUCUUCACUUCGGGUGGGAGGUGCACAGGUGCUGCAUGGCUGUCGUCAGCUCGUGUCGUGAGAUGUUGGGUUAAGUCCCGCAACGAGCGCAACCCUCGUCCUCUGUUGCUAACGGGUAAUGCCGAGAACUCUGAGGAAACUGCCGGUGAUAAGCCGGAGGAAGGUGGGGAUGACGUCAAGUCCUCAUGGCCCUUACAUCCUGGGCUACACACGUGUUACAAUGGCGGUGACAAUGGGCUGCGAUCGCGCAAGCGCUAGCCAAUCCCAAAAAGCCGCCUCAGUUUGGAUUGUACUCUGCAACUCGAGUACAUGAAGUUGGAAUUGCUAGUAAUGGCGUGUCAGCAACAACGCCGUGAAUACGUUCCCGGGCCUUGUACACACCGUAGAGAC
rnacentral:rRNA from 1 species